rnacentral:rRNA from 1 species
UACGGGGGGAGCAAGCGUUGUUCGGAUUUACUGGGCGUAAAGGGCGCGUAGGCGGCCACCUCAAGUCGACUGUGAAAUCUCCGGGCUUAACUCGGAAAGGUCAGCCGAUACUGCGGGGCUAGAGUGCAGAAGGGGCAACUGGAAUUCUCGGUGUAGCGGUGAAAUGCGUAGAUAUCGAGAGGAACACCUGCGGCGAAGGCGGGUUGCUGGGCUGACACUGACGCUGAUUGUGCGAAAGCUAGGGGAGCGAACGGG